UAUAAAAUUAAAAUCAAAAUGGUUGCUGAUGGAAAAGAACACACCACAGUAUAUUAAAGAAGAAGCAAACCCCACGGAUUCUUUUUCCAUUUCUUUUCCUUAUAAAAGCAAGGUAGAUGAACUAAACCUUAAAGCCCAUUAGAAUCAAACACACAAUUGAUCAACAAUGAUACCAAUCAGCAACUUCUUGUUCAUCUUCAUCACCUCAUUUAAUUCCAUUUAUCGAUUUGCUCGUCAACACCCUGUCCAUGUUAGUUUCAGUCCGCAUGGUAACAUUUAUCUUGAAUUUGAUGUUACACGUGUACCUCCUCUUUGAAAUCCGUUUAUUCAGUUUAUACCCAAACACCUCGACACCAUUCGAUCGUCUCGGAGAAUUUGUCAAUCGGAAGUCCUCCUGCGAUGGCGUUUGUUUGUUCUUCCGUUGUGGGUGAGAUAGAGAGAAAGAGUUAGAGGGAGAAAGUGAGUGAGAUCGAAGCAAGUUCUUCCCCUGUAAAUCUUCGAUAUCACCAAAGAUGCCCAAACCCUGAUUGAUGGCGAAAUCUGGUGAUCAAAGUCCAAAGCUCCCACCAUCUGUGACAUUCAUCAAGAAAACCCCAUCACUGGAUCCACCAAUUUCGGAGAUCUAGCCGUGGAUAUAGUUACAGUUGUCGAUGGAUAUAAAAUUCUGGGGUUCAGUUCAAAUAUUUUCUUGCACGAGGACCUUAAGGGGGAUUUGGGAGGUAGUCUUAUCAAGAUUUCAACCACCAACUCUUCACAUAAAUAACCGAUAACUUGACAUUGUGUGAUUCUGUGUUUUCCCAAGAUAAAAUUAGUUGUAGCAAUGAGAUGUGUCAAAACAUUUUUUAUUGCUUUUCAAGAUUUCGGAAAGAAUCUUUAUUUGAUCAAAGUGUACAUUCUUUUUUAAUGAAAUCAACCAGGUUAAGAUUU